rnacentral:lncRNA from 1 species
UCCUUGGGGGCCUUGCACGAGCCUCGUGGGCCUUGCACCAGCCUCGUGUGAGCCUUGCACCAGCCUCGUGUGAGCCUUGCACCAGCCUCACGUGAAUCUCAUGGUAUCCUUGCACCAGCCUCGUGUGAGCAUCAUGCAAGCCUCGUGUGAGCCUCUCCUCCUUGGCGGCUUUUGCACGGCCUUGCACAAGUACCUGCGGAGCCUCCGGCCUUGCACGGCCCUCGUGUGGCCUUGCACGAGUCCCACAAGGCUCUCAGCCCCCCUCCCCCCCCCCCCCCCCCCCAGCCCCAAAACUGCCCCUGGGAGACCCCAAAGUGCCCCUGGGGAGCAGAGGAGCAGCAGCCCCUUGUGCAAGCCCUCGUGCAAGCCCUGUGGGGCCCCGUGCACACCCCUGCAGUGCCCCAUGGGGGUCCUGUGCACGCCCCAUGUGAGUCCUUGUGCAAAAUUUGUGCAAGCCCCGUGCAAAGCAGGUGCAAACCCUGUGUAAGCCUCCUGCAAAGGAGGUGCAAGCCUCGUGCAAGCCUCGUGCAAGCCCCGUGCAAGCCCUGUGCAAAGGGGAUGCAAGCUCCGUGCAAGCCCCGUGUAAACCUUAUGCAAACCUCGUGCAAGCCUCGUGCAAAGCAGGUGCAAACCCUGUGCAAGCCUCCUGCAAAGGAGGUGCAAGCCUCGUGCAAGCCCCGUGCAAAGGAAAUGGAAGUCCCGUGCAAACCCCGUGCAAACCUUGUGCAAACCUUGUGCAAACCUCGUGCAAGCUGCGUGCAAACCUCGUGCAAACCCUGUGCAAACCCCGUGCAAAGCAGGUGCAAGCCUGGUGCAAACCCCGUGCAAAGGGGAUGCAAGCUCCGUGCAACCCCCGUGCAAACCUUGUGCAAGCCUCGUGCAAGCCCCGUGCAAACCCCUUGCACACCCGUGCAA